rnacentral:sRNA from 1 species
CUUCUUCUAUCUGUUGCGGACAGAUGAAAUGGAUGUGAGAGUCGAUACCGCCUGCGGUCAAAAUAGAGCCCUCGCCUGCCAACACUUCCGUUCCGGGACCAAUCACAAUGGUCACUUCCGGCUGAACAUCUGGGUUGCCCGCUUUGCCUAUCGCCUGAAUUCGGCCGUUUUUAAUCGCGACAUCCGCUUUCACUAUGCCCCAAUAAUCAAGAAUGACAGCAUUGGUGAUCACUAAGUCGGGUGUUUCGGCGCUGGGUCUCUGACUCUGGCCCAUGCCAUCGCGAAU